UGUGAUGAGCUGUUUCCACCGACCACUACCAUGCUUUCCCUGCCCUCAUGGACUCAAACUGUGAGGCAGACUAAGUCCUUCUGUCCUGAGGUCAUUUGUGGUUUCUUGGAGGAAUAAGAAAAAUAACUAAUACAUUAUUUUUCACUCAGUUUAUAGCCUAUUGAGGAGUCAACAGAGGAUUCCCAUGAAGACAGGGUGUCAGCAGGAAUAGGAUCAACUCAGUCAAACCAGAACAUCACUUUACUGCUUCACAGGUGUCCUACUGUUUCCUCACAAUGAACAAACCCAUCCUAGAGUGGAAGAGCUUCAGGAAUUGAGCCUCUACUGUUGGAGGUCCUCUGCAGGCAGCAAUUGAUAGAACUGUGUCACCAGGAGGGGUUUUCAUGAUGAGAGGGCCACCAGUAGAAGCUAUUCAGCAAAACUGUUUGGUGCCUGCUUAAUCCUAAAUCAGCCAAGUGUAUUAUCUAGUUAAUUUUCUGUUUCUAUAAUAAAGUAUCAUUGUUAUAGC